GUCAGGUGGCCUGGGGGUCACGUGACCUCGACCUUUAGCGGGAAAAAUUUUCCGCUAGAUUUAGCGGGAAAAUUUUUCCGCUAAAUUUAGCGGAGAACAUUUUCCGCUAAAUCUAGCGGGGAAAAUUUUCCGCUAAAUUUAGCGGGGAAAAUUUUCCGCUAAAUUUAGCGGGGAAAAUUUUCCGCUAAAUUUAGCGGAGAAAAUUUUCCGCUAGAUUUAGCGGGGAAAAUUUUCCGCUAAAUC
rnacentral:SRP_RNA from 1 species